UCUAAGGACAUACAUAUAAAAAUCAUCAUCUUCAGUUUUGAAAGACUUAGGUUAAAAUAUAA
rnacentral:misc_RNA from 1 species